rnacentral:rRNA from 1 species
GACGAACGCUGGCGGCGUGCUUAACACAUGCAAGUCGAACGGAAAGGCCCUGCUUUUGUGGGGUGCUCGAGUGGCGAACGGGUGAGUAACACGUGAGUAACCUGCCCUUGACUUUGGGAUAACUUCAGGAAACUGGGUCUAAUACCGGAUAGGAGCUCCUGCUGCAUGGUGGGGGUUAGAAAGUUUCGGCGGUUGGGGAUGGACUCGCGGCUUAUCAGCUUGUUGGUGGGGUAGUGGCUUACCAAGGCUUUGACGGGUAGCCGGCCUGAGAGGGUGACCGGCCACAUUGGGACUGAGAUACGGACCAGACUCCUACGGGAGGCAGCAGUGGGGAAUAUUGCACAAUGGGCGGAAGCCUGAUGCAGCAACGCCGCGUGCGGGAUGACGGCCUUCGGGUUGUAAACCGCUUUCGCCUGUGACGAAGCGUGAGUGACGGUAAUGGGUAAAGAAGCACCGGCUAACUACGUG